GGGGGCGAAGUGUUACGGUAGCACUACUGUCUCCAAAACAGUUAGCCCAGGUUCGACUCCUGGCGCCCCCG
rnacentral:tRNA from 1 species